GGGGUUGUGACUCAGUGAUAGAGUGCUCACCUAGAACAUGCGAGGUCCUGGGUUUAAUCCUCAGCACCACA
rnacentral:tRNA from 1 species